GACCUCAGGUCAGGCGGGGCUACCCGCUGAGUUUAAGCAUAUCAAUAAGCGGAGGA
rnacentral:rRNA from 2 species